rnacentral:rRNA from 1 species
CCUACGGGAGGCAGCAGUGAGGAAUAUUGGUCAAUGGGCGCGAGCCUGAACCAGCCAAGUCGCGUGAGGGAGGACGGCCCUACGGGUUGUAAACCUCUUUUGCCGGGGAGCAACGGGCGUCACGUGUGGCGCCACUGAGAGUACCCGGAGAAAAAGCAUCGGCUAACUCCGUGCCAGCAGCCGGGGUAAUACGGGGGAAGCGAGCGUUCGCCGGAUUUAUUGGGUGUAAGGGGUGCGUAGGCGGAUCGUUAAGUCAGGGGUAAAAUUGAGGGGCUCAACCCCUUCCCGCCAUUGAAACUGGCGUUCUUGAGUGGAAGAGAAGUAUGCGGAAUGCGUGGUGUAGCGGUGAAAUGCAUAGAUAUCACGCAGAACCCCGAUUGCGAAGGCAGCAUGCCGGCUUCCGACUGACGCUGAGGCACGAAAGCGUGGGGAUCGAACAGGAUUAGAUACCCGUGUAGUC